CAGCCCAAAUUUGCCCGGGCCCAUGAUAAAACUAUAAAUAAUAAAUAAUAAAUAAAUUCAAAUAGUCCUCUACAAUAAACAGGCCUCAAGGCCUGGUAAACCCAAAUGUCUUGACCCAACUACCAAAAGUCCUACCCAUAACCCAGCUAAACUACCCAAUAGCCCGUUUACGCCCACAAACAGGUACGACCCAAAUGGCCCAACUUGUUAACAGAUGAGGGAAGACCUAGGGUUUCUGGAACCCUAGGUGCCACAAAUGGAAAGAUCCAUAAGCUAAACUAAACGUCACGUCCUUUCAAUUCUCGUUGUUCCAGCUGAUCACCAUCAAGGCCACCAUUCCAGGUUCCAAUUCACGCCGUGAUCAAUGCCACCGGUCGAUCUAUGUCACCAGCAUGAUCAUCACAUAAUUUUCCUCGAACACCUGCAAAAAGAGAAAGAAAAGCAGUAGAAACGAAACAAAUAUGGAAAGAAAUCUUCAAUUUCUUUCCCAAAAAUGUAAUAGAAACAGUGGCUAUAAAAAGCCCCUUUGUAACCUAUAAACGAUACGCAUACGAGAAAAAAAAUAAAAGGAAGCAAAAACAAACAGUUUUUUUAAGAGGUGAAUCUCCUAUUUUAUUUUAUUUUUUCGUGUUCAAAGCAUAUAUACAUAUACAAACAGUUAGAUAAAUAGUUUUAAAACGCGAAAAAGGGUUUUACCUUUUGCUUUUGCAUAAAAAAUUGAGGUUUCUAACCUCCGAGGGUCGCGCAGGGCAGUGUUGAAGGUGGCGCGUAAGCGUGUGGGUGCGUGUGUGUCCGGUGACCAGAGCUUGGCCUGACAAAG
rnacentral:lncRNA from 1 species